rnacentral:tRNA from 1 species
GCGGGGGUUGCCGAGUCUGGUCAAAGGCGCAGGCUUCAGGAGCCUGUCCCGUAGGGGUUCGUGGGUUCAAAUCCCACCCCCCGCA